rnacentral:rRNA from 1 species
UACAGAGGGUGCGAGCGUUGUCCGGAAUCACUGGGCGUAAAGGGCGCGUAGGCGGCUUUUCAAGCGUGCGGUGAAAGCUCGGGGCUUAACUCCGAGUCUGCCGUGCGAACUGGGAGGCUUGAGUCUGGUAGAGGUCGAUGGAAUUCCGGGUGUAGCGGUGGAAUGCGUAGAGAUCCGGAAGAACACCGGUGGCGAAGGCGGCCUGCUGGGCAGUUGCUGACACUGAGGCGCGAAAGCGUGGGGAGCGAACAGG